CGUGGAGCGGUUGCUGUUGAGAACAUGGAGGAAGAUCUCGCCCCCGUGGCUGCUGAGCAUGUGACUGAUCACCUUUGAACCUGACUUCUUGGGCAGCUCCAACAGCACAGAGCGACCUGAGGUUGGUGAGCGUCUCUGUGAUGCAGGAGCUCGACGUCAUAAUUGGCUGACGUGUUGGCGUGCUGCUCCUCCUGUCCAUCAGUGGGGAAACGACAAACAAAGAAAGCAUAGCAACGCAACAGUGGAAGGAGCACCGACCUUCAUGGGGAUGUUGGUUAUGGUGGUCGAGGCCAAGUCAAAGUGCUGCUGGACCAGAAUGUUGAGCUUGGUGGCGAGGUGCCUCCCAGCACGAAC